rnacentral:rRNA from 1 species
GAUUAGCUAGUUGGUGAGGUAAAGGCUCACCAAGGCGACGAUCAGUAGCUGGUCUGAGAGGACGACCAGCCACACUGGAACUGAGACACGGUCCAGACUCCUACGGGAGGCAGCAGUGGGGAAUUUUGGACAAUGGGCGCAAGCCUGAUCCAGCAAUGCCGCGUGAGUGAAGAAGGCCUUCGGGUUGUAAAGCUCUUUUGUCAGGGAAGAAACGGUAGAGGCUAAUAUCCUUUGCUAAUGACGGUACCUGAAGAAUAAGCACCGGCUAACUACGUGUCAGCAGCCGCGGUAAUACGUAGGGUGCAAGCGUUAAUCGGAAUUACUGGGCGUAAAGCGUGCGCAGGCGGUUUUGUAAGUCUGUCGUGAAAGCCCCGGGCUCAACCUGGGAAUUGCGAUGGAGACUGCAAGGCUUGAAUCUGGCAGAGGGGGGUAGAAUUCCACGUGUAGCAGUGAAAUGCGUAGAGAUGUGGAGGAACACCGAUGGCGAAGGCAGCCCCCUGGGUCAAGAUUGACGCUCAUGCACGAAAGCGUGGGGAGCAAACAGGAUUAGAUACCCUGGUAGUCCACGCCCUAAACGAUGUCUACUAGUUGUCGGGUUUUAAUUAACUUGGUAACGCAGCUAACGCGUGAAGUAGACCGCCUGGGGAGUACGGUCGCAAGAUUAAAACUCAAAGGAAUUGACGGGGACCCGCACAAGCGGUGGAUGAUGUGGAUUAAUUCGAUGCAACGCGAAAAACCUUACCUACCCUUGACAUGUCAGGAAGUCCGGAGAGAUCUGGAUGUGCCCGAAAGGGAGCCUGAACACAGGUGCUGCAUGGCUGUCGUCAGCUCGUGUCGUGAGAUGUUGGGUUAAGUCCCGCAACGAGCGCAACCCUUGUCAUUAGUUGCUACGCAAGAGCACUCUAAUGAGACUGCCGGUGACAAACCGGAGGAAGGUGGGGAUGACGUCAAGUCCUCAUGGCCCUUAUGGGUAGGGCUUCACACGUCAUACAAUGGUACAUACAGAGGGCCGCCAACCCGCGAGGGGGAGCUAAUCCCAGAAAGUGUAUCGUAGUCCGGAUCGCAGUCUGCAACUCGACUGCGUGAAGUUGGAAUCGCUAGUAAUCGCGGAUCAGCAUGUCGCGGUGAAUACGUUCCCGGGUCUUGUACACACCGCCCGUCACACCAUGGGAGCGGGUUUUACCAGAAGUAGGUAGCUUAACCGUAAGGAGGGCGCUAACCAC